rnacentral:rRNA from 1 species
UACGUAGGGUGCGAGCGUUGUCCGGAAUUACUGGGCGUAAAGAGCUCGUAGGCGGUUUGUCGCGUCGUCCGUGAAAACUUGGGGCUCAACCCCAAGCUUGCGGGCGAUACGGGCAGACUUGAGUACUGCAGGGGAGACUGGAAUUCCUGGUGUAGCGGUGAAAUGCGCAGAUAUCAGGAGGAACACCGGUGGCGAAGGCGGGUCUCUGGGUAGUAACUGACGCUGAGGAGCGAAAGCGUGGGUAGCAAACAGG